rnacentral:rRNA from 1 species
GACGAACGCUGGCGGCGUGCUUAACACAUGCAAGUCGAACGAUGAAGCCCAGCUUGCUGGGUGGAUUAGUGGCGAACGGGUGAGUAACACGUGGGCAACCUGCCCCAAACUCUGGGAUAACUCCUCGAAAGAGGUGCUAAUACCGGAUACGAACUAGACAGACAUCUGUACUAGUUGGAAAGUUUUUCGGUUUGGGAUGGGCCCGCGGCCUAUCAGCUUGUUGGUGAGGUAACGGCUCACCAAGGCUACGACGGGUAACCGGCCUGAGAGGGCGACCGGUCACACUGGGACGGAGACACGGCCCGGACUCCUACGGGAGGCAGCAGUGGGGAAUAUUGCGCAAUGGGCGAAAGCCUGACGCAGCGACGCCGCGUGAGGGAUGAAGGUCUUCGGAUCGUAAACCUCUUUCAGUAGGGACGAAGCGAAAGUGACGGUACCUAAAGAAGAAGCACCGGCUAACUACGUGCCAGCCGCCGCCGUAA